AACAUCAAUAUCUUUAGCACCGUUUAAACUAUAAAUGAUAUGGAAUACAAAAUACAUUUGCUUACAGAGUUUCACCGAAAGGAUUAUAAACAGGGUUAUACAGUGGAGUUCAGUUACUUGCAUAAACAGCGAAAUUACAUCAAAUCACCUUAAUGGGAUACAACUCAUAUGUAUAGAGUUUCAAACUACAGUGCUUCCUAUACAAACAUUGG